rnacentral:rRNA from 1 species
UGGGGAAUAUUGCACAAUGGGCGAAAGCCUGAUGCAGCAACGCCGCGUGAGCGAAGAAGGUCUUCGGAUUGUAAAGCUCUGUCCCUGGGGAAGAUAAUGACGGUACCCAACAAGGAAGUGACGGCUAACUACGUGCCAGCAGCCGCGGUAAAACGUAGGUCACAAGCGUUGUCCGGAAUUACUGGGUGUAAAGGGAGCGCAGGCGGGAAGACAAGUUGGAAGUGAAAUCUAUGGGCUCAACCCAUAAACUGCUUUCAAAACUGUUUUUCUUGAGUAGUGCAGAGGUAGGCGGAAUUCCCGGUGUAGCGGUGGAAUGCGUAGAUAUCGGGAGGAACACCAGUGGCGAAGGCGGCCUACUGGGCACCAACUGACGCUGAGGCUCGAAAGUGUGGGUAGCAAACAGGAUUAGAUACCCUGGUAGU